UUCACAUCCCCCACCCCCACCCCGCCUCUGCCCCAGGUACCUGGACAUUCAAACUGCUCCACUGGAGGAUUGUGGUGUGGUGACUGAAAGUUCUGGUACCACUCUCCGGAUGAGGUGCUGGAACUGUCACCGUCUGCCGUCCCUGCUGAAGAUCCAGACUAGUUACUCUCUGCCAGGAGCAAGCCUGAGGACCCCGGAGAGCCAAGUCUGGAGCUAGGCACAUGAGGAAGAAGAGGCCCAGAGAGGGAAGGAGACUUGUCCAAGGUCACACAGCCAACUGGCUACUCAGAGUUUGGGUUCUGUGCCUCUGCUGGCUUCCAUCAAGGACACAUCUCCUUCACCCCACACCCAACACAAACGCAGAGUCUGCUUCUCCUGAGAAACCUCCGCUUGUAGGCUCUACUGCUAUGAAUGCUUGGAAAAUCCUUCCCACCAUCAGGAGGUUUCCCCAGGCCUGAGCUGGGUGGUCCUUGCAGGACCAUUUCCACCGGGGCUCUUCCACACCUCAGGUACUGGGGGAUGCCUAUACCUCACAACUGUUGUGUCCUGUGCAGUAGCUCUGGGAAGGUCACACCUACCAUAUCGUCCUUUCGCUCUCAAGAGAAGAACAGCUAUGAAGAUGAGGGAAACAAGGAGGAGACUUCCCAAGACAAUACAGGGUAUGAGGAGUGUCAGCUCUCGAGACUCCUUGUCCUUCACGCUCACCGGCACUGAAGAUUCUGGAAACCCAGUUCAAGCAGGAAAAGAAAUGGAUGUGAGCCCCUUUAACACCUUCCUUUGCCUUUUCACCUUCGUGAAGCGUCCCCACCUUCCUUUUCACCCUUUUCCUCCUCCAGUCUUUUAUUCAAAUCUUCCUUCCCAUCGGCUUCUAAGUACCUCAUCGAUGGUAAGUGCUCUGUGAGUGCAUAUUAAAUGAGCAGUUGACUAAAUGUA